rnacentral:rRNA from 1 species
UCUUGGUCAAUUUAGAGGAAGUAAAAGUCGUAACAAGGUUUCCGUAGGUGAACCUGCGGAAGGAUCAUUAUUGAAAUAAACUUGGUGUGGGUUGUAGCUGGCCUUUCUUGGGCAUGUGCUCGCCUUCAUCAUCUUUGUAUUUCCACCUGUGCACCUUCUGUAGACAAGAAAGAAAAAAAGGAAUUUAUUCCUUAAAUAUUCCUUGUCUAUUUUUUAUAUACUCCAAAAUAUAACAGAAUGUUAAUCUAUGGGACUUGUGCCUAUAAACAAAAAAUUAUACAACUUUCAGCAACGGAUCUCUUGGCUCUCGCAUCGAUGAAGAACGCAGCGAAAUGCGAUAAGUAAUGUGAAUUGCAGAAUUCAGUGAAUCAUCGAAUCUUUGAACGCACCUUGCGCUCCUUGGUAUUCCGAGGAGCAUGCCUGUUUGAGUGUCAUUAAAUUCUCAAAAAAAACUUUGGUAGUAUUAUUAUUAUUAUCAAUGGCUUUGUUUUGGAUGUGAGGGUUUGUUGGCGUAAGUCGACUCCCUUGAAAUGAAUUAGCUUGGUUGACUGGACUUUUGUCUAUUGGUGUGAUAAUUAUCUACGCCAUUGGAUUGUCUGCUUGUCGAACUGCUUCUAAUUGUCCCAUUGGGACUUUAUUAAUGACUAUUUGACCUCAAAUCAGGUAGGACUACCCGCUGAACUUAAGCAUAUCAAUAG